AUUACCUCAGUAACGGCGAGUGAAGCGGUAACAGCUCAAAUUUGAAAUCUGGCUCUUUCAGGGUCCGAGUUGUAAUUUGUAGACGAUGCUUUGGGUGUGGUGCCGGUCUAAGUUCCUUGGAACAGGACGUCAUAGAGGGUGAGAAUCCCGUAUGUGAUCGGUCGCCUUCGCCCGUGUAAAGCUCGUUCGACGAGUCGAGUUGUUUGGGAAUGCAGCUCAAAAUGGGUGGUAAAUUUCAUCUAAAGCUAAAUAUUGGCCAGAGACCGAUAGCGCACAAGUAGAGUGAUCGAAAGAUGAAAAGCACUUUGGAAAGAGAGUUAAACAGUACGUGAAAUUGUUGAAAGGGAAGCGCUUGCAACCAGACUUGGGCUGUCGCAAUCAUCCGGGGCUCGCCCCGGUGCACUUGUGGCGGCACAGGCCAGCAUCAGUUUCGGUGGUGGGAUAAAGGCCUUGGGAAUGUAGCUUCUUUCGGGGAGUGUUAUAGCCCUCGGUGCAAUGCCGCCUACCGGGACUGAGGAACGCGCUUCGGCGAGGAUGCUGGCGUAAUGGUUGUAAGCGACCCGUCUUGAAACACGGACCAAGGAGUCUAACAUCUAUGCGAGUGUUUGGGUGUCAAACCCAUACGCGUAAUGAAAGUGAACGGAGGUGAGAACCCGUUAGGGUGCAUCAUCGACCGAUCCUGAUGUCUUCGGAUGGAUUUGAGUAAGAGCAUAGCUGUUGGGACCCGAAAGAUGGUGAACUAUGCCUAAAUAGGGUGAAGCCAGAGGAAACUCUGGUGGAGGCUCGCAGCGGUUCUGACGUGCAAAUCGAUCGUCAAAUUUGGGUAUAGGGGCGAAAGAC
rnacentral:rRNA from 1 species